rnacentral:rRNA from 1 species
GUGCCAGCCGCCGCGGUAAGACGUAGGGGGCGAGCGUUGUCCGGAAUUACUGGGCGUAAAGAGCACGUAGGCGGAUGUAUAAGUCAGGUGUGAAAGACCGCAGCCUAACUGCGGGGUUGCACUUGAAACUGUAUAUCUUGAGGGCAGGAGAGGUUAGUAGAAUUCCUGGUGUAGCGGUGAAAUGCGUAGAAAUCAGGAGGAAUACCAGUGGCGAAGGCGACUGACUGGACUGACCCUGACGCUGAGGUGCGAAAGCGUGGGUAGCAAACAGGAUUAGAUACCCUGGUAGUCCACGCCGUAAACGAUGGAUACUAGGUGUGGGAGGUAUCGACCCCUUCCGUGCCGCAGCUAACGCAAUAAGUAUCCCGCCUGGGGAGUACGGUCGCAAGGCUGAAACUCAAAUGAAUUGACGG